rnacentral:rRNA from 1 species
ACACCGGCAGCCCGAGUGGUGGCCACUAUUAUUGGGCCUAAAGCGUCCGUAGCCGGUCCGGUAAGUCCCUGUGGAAAUCCUCAGGCUCAACCGGAGGAAAUGCGGGGAUACUGCCGGACUCGGGGCCGGGAGACGCGGAGGGUACUCCAGGGGUAGCGGUGAAAUGCUGUAAUCCCUGGGGGACCACCAGUGGCGAAGGCGCUCCGCGAGAACGGGCCCGACGGUGAGGGACGAAAGCCAGGGGAGCGAACGGGAUUAGAUACCCUAGUAGUCC